UUCUAUUAGAAUUAAAUAAUAGUAUAAUCUGCUCAAUGAAACCUAAAUAGCCGCAAUACUGUGCUAAGGUAGCAUAAUCAUUUGUCUUUUAAUUAAAGACUAGAACAAAGGAUUAAACAUUUAAAUAUAUUUCUCAAUUUAACAUUAAUUUAAAUCUAUUUUUAAUGUUAAAAAACAUUAAUUCAUUAGAUAGACAAUAAGACCCUAUUAAACUUUACUUCAGUUCAACUGGGGAAGUAAAGUAAAUAAUAUUUUAACAUUAUUUUUUUAAAUAACCUAAUAUAAUUAAUUAUAUUAAGUUACUAUAGGGAUAACAGAAUAAUUUCUUCUAAAAGAUCAUAUAUCAGAAGAUGAUUAUGACCUCGAUGUUGAAUAAUUCAACACAUUAACGCAAUAGAUAACAAUGUAAGUCUGUUCGACUUUUAAAUCAUUACG
rnacentral:rRNA from 1 species